rnacentral:rRNA from 1 species
ACUGCGAGUGAAGAGGGAAAAGCUCAAAUUUAAAAUCUGGCAGUGUUUCACUGUCCGAGUUGUAACCUAGAGAAGUGUAACCUGCACUGGACCGUGUACAAGUCUCCUGGAAUGGAGCAUCACAGAGGGUGAGAAUCCCGUCUUUGACAUGGACUGCCAGUGCAUUGUGGUUGUGCUCUCAACGAGUCGAGUUGUUUGGGAAUGCAGCUCUAAAUGGGUGGUAAAUUCCAUCUAAAGCUAAAUAUUGGCGAGAGACCGAUAGCGAACAAGUACCGUGAGGGAAAGAUGAAAAGAACUUUGGAAAGAGAGUUAAACAGUAUGUGAAAUUGUUGAAAGGGAAACGUUUGAAGUCAGUCGCGUUGGCUGGGGAUCAACCUGACUUUUUGUUGGGUGUACUUCCUGGUUGACGGGUCAACAUCAGUUUUGACUGCCAGAAAAAGGCCAAGGGAAUGUGGCACCUUUGGGUGUGUUAUAGCUCUUGGUCGUAUAUGGUGGUUGGGACUGAGGAAAGCAGUGUGCCGAAAGGCCGGGUUUCGACCACGUUCACACUGAGGAUGUUGGCAUAAUGGCUUUAAGCGACCCGUCUUGAAACACGGACCAAGGAGUCUAACAUGCAUGCGAGUGUUUGGGUGGAAAACUCUUACGCGUAAUGAAAGUGAAAGUUGAGAUCCCUGUCGUGGGGAGCAUCGACGCCCGGACCAGAACUUUUGGGACGGAUCUGCGGUAGAGCAAGUAUGUUGGGACCCGAAAGAUGGUGAACUAUGCCUGAAUAGGGUGAAGCCAGAGGAAACUCUGGUGGAGGCUCGUAGCGAUUCUGACGUGCAAAUCGAUCGUCGAAUUUGGGUAUAG